rnacentral:rRNA from 1 species
UGCGUAGGUGGGUUGGUAAGUCAGUGGUGAAAUCCCCGAGCUUAACUUGGGAACUGCCAUUGAUACUAUUAAUCUUGAAUACCGUGGAGGUCAGCGGAAUAUGUCAUGUAGCGGUGAAAUGCUUAGAUAUGACAUAGAGCACCAAUUGCGAAGGCAGCUGGCUACGCGAAUAUUGACACUGAUGCACGAAAGCGUGGGGAUCAAACA